UCCGGCUUCGCGCCGGCAGUCUCCCGAGAGUCCCCGGCAUUACCCGCUGGCAACUAAGGGCAGGGGUUGCGCUCGUUGCGGCACUUAAGCCAACACCUCACGGCACGAGCUGACGACAGCCAUGCAGCACCUGUGCUAGCCCCCGAAGGACACGGGCUUUCACCCGCUUUAACUAGCAUGUCAAGCCCAGGCAAGGUUCUUCGCGUUGCAUCGAAUUAAGCCACAUGCUCCGCCGCUUGUGCGGGUCCCCGUCAAUUCCUUUGAGUUUUAGCCUUGCGGCCGUACUCCCCAGGCGGGGCACUUAAUGCGUUAGCUGCGGCACGGACCACGUGGAAUGUGGCCCACACCUAGUGCCCAACGUUUACGGCGUGGACUAC
rnacentral:misc_RNA from 1 species